rnacentral:snRNA from 1 species
GGAUGUGAGGGCGAUCUGGCUGCAACAUCUGUCACCCCAUUGAUCGCCAGGUUUGAUUCGGCUGAUCUGGCUGGUUAGGCGGGUGUCCCUUCCUCCCUCACCGCUCCCAUGUGCGUCCCUCCUGAAGCUGUGCACUCGGUCAAAGAACAGUUACCUCAACAAAUUUUAAGUUUUGUCAAAAUGGUCCAUUUUAGAAAGGCUGCAUAUUUAGAUUAUAAAUCAGUGUGAAGAAAAGGUGUCUGUCUGGUUUAAAAGCAUUGAAGGACUAAGCAUUUGAUCUAAAUGUAUCUGGAGGAUGCAAGGUUAAACCUGUCUUAAUUAUUUUAAACUUAUACUCAAAAGACCUUUAAACUCUUGAAGCCGAACCUAUUU